rnacentral:rRNA from 1 species
CGGACGGGUGAGUAACGCGUGAGUAACCUGCCUUGGAGUGGGGAAUAACAGUUAGAAAUGACUGCUAAUACCGCAUAAGCGCACAAAACCGCAUGGUUUGGUGUGAAAAACUGAGGUGGUAUGAGAUGGACCCGCGUCUGAUUAGCUAGUUGGAGAGGUAACGGCUCACCAAGGCAACGAUCAGUAGCCGACCUGAGAGGGUGACCGGCCACAUUGGGACUGAGACACGGCCCAAACUCCUACGGAAGGCAGCAG